rnacentral:rRNA from 9 species
CAACUUUCAGCAGUGGAUGUCUAGGCUCGCACAUCGAUGAAGAACGCUGCGAACUGCGAUACGUAAUGCGAAUUGCAGGAUUCAGUGAGUCAUCGAACUUUUGAACGCAUAUUGCACUUUCGGGUUACGCCUGGAAGUAUGUCUGUAUCAGUGUCCGUA